AUUCGCUUUAGUAUUAACAUAUGAGAAUGGAGAGAAAAGUUUAGUUUAUUACAGUACACUCAAGUAUUGUCAUAAUUGAGAGAAAUAAUACUGAAAUAGUACAUAUUUAAUUAAAGAUGAUAGAAUUACGUAUUACGUUUGAAGGUUAUGAAGAUGAAGAAAGAAUUAUCUGGCCGGAAGUUGAAGCAAACAACUUUUUGACACGAAAACAAUAUUCGACGCAACAAAACAACGAAUUUGAUAGCAGUAACGUCUUUUUCCAAUACUAAAUUCGACAUACAGAGUUGGAAGGAAAUGUUUACUGGUAUAUUGUACUAAUAUUGGACUUUUAUGUACAUUCGCAUGACAUUUUGAUAUAAUUAUUUACUGCACCAAGUAUUUGUAGGAAAAGAAACACAACUUUGUUAGUAUGUUUCUAAACAUGUAUGUUCUAUUUUGUGAGAGAUAAGUGUGUUAUAUUUUUAUAGUUUUAAGUCAAAUUUUAAAGAAACAUUAAAAUGUGAAUUUCAAUAUGACAAGUUAUCGUAAUUAAUGUUAUCGUAAAUUACAUAAUAGGAUGGAAACAUACAGUAAGAAAAAUAUCUUUUCACUUUUUGUUAAUGAAAUUGUUAUAUUUACUUCAUAUUGAUUCAUUUGUAAGCACAUUAACUAUAGUUAAAGGCUUGUCGAUUAACAACUCACGUUUUAGAAAAUAAUGUAUUCCUUUAAUAAUUGUUAGGUAUAUUCAUAGAUUUACGAUUACAAUAUCUUCAACUCUCAGUAAUAAUGACCAUAUUUGUAGUAAAGGUUUCGUAUCCAAAAGCUACUGAUAAAUGUUUAUAGUUUCAUAGUCACAUAUGGUUAUUAUAUUAUAUAUGUAUAGAGCGUUAGAAGAAUGUAUUUUUUUAUAAUCUCCACCUAAAUUGUACGCUAUGAAUAGGAGAAAAUGUAAUUUUUAAUCAGUAACAUGUAAAUAAUUUAUUGAUAUUUACCAGAAAUAUAUCUUAAACACAAUAAAAGGAAUGCAUAAUAUUAGUAUUAUUUCAAUUAAUUACGUUGAAUAAAAGUUUCACGUGUUAAAGGCUUCCGGUCAAAUAUAAUAAUGUUUCGAAUACAUUUCUACGUUUCUUUUCGUAAAUUUCUAUUUAUACAUGACAGUAAAGCUAGAUAUCGUAUAAGAAACAUACAUUUUUCCGUUUUCUUCUUGUUUUGCAUUAUUUUACUUCGUACGAAAUGCGAUUAAUUACAUAAUUCAAUUUUAUGACAGGGAAAAAGGAGUCUACAAAUUUCUAUAUAGGAUGACUUAUUGAAGAAAAUAAUAUCAAAUUUGUAAGUAUAUAUAAUCCUAGAGGGUAUCACAUUAAUUUACAACCGAAUAUGUGAUUCAAUAUUUGGCACGAUGAUUUGUUUGCUCUAAUUUCUGUAUAAUAAUGACACAAGUACUUUAUGUAAUUUUCAAAAUUAUUAGUGUUAAUUAAUCCUUAUUUUAGGAUAGAGUUCCACAUCACACAGUCUUUCGCACCUUAUUCGUAUUGGUCAAGCAGUUACCUAUUUCUUUAUUCUUAAAUACAUAUACAAUAUUUACAUGAUCUUCAUAAACAUUCUUUCUUCACUUUUCCAAGGCAAUGGUUGUGGGAGAUAAAACUAUAUGAAGAAAUUUUCCUCUUCUGGUCUAUCGUAAGAUUUUGUGUACAUUAAUCUUUAUAUAGAAAUAAAUCGAAAGUGAAAAAUUAUUAUCUUGGAAACUUAAAGUAUGAUAAUUUAUGAAAAUAUAAAGAGAAAUUAAUUUCUGAGUCGUCUUAUAUGCGUAAAAGAUAUUUGAUUAAACAUUUUGCUAAAUGUAAGUUAGAGGACUUAACGAAAGUUGGUUUAAUAAUUUUAUUGGAAAUAAUAUGACAAUAAAGAAGAAAUUUACAAUCAGAAAUUAUUUAUUGCAAAAAGAAUUGAUUGCAAAAUGGAACAUAAAGCUUAUGUAUAUAGGAUACUUUCUCAGUUAAAAAAAGAUGAUAAAUAAUUAAUUUCAUUAUCAACAAUAUGGAUGUACUUUCAUUUAAAAAUCCUGUACACGAUAAAAUCGUGAAAUCGAUGUGUAUUUAGAUUUGAAAUGGAAUAUUUUCUCUACUCAAUUUGAAAUAAAUCAAAUUCUCUUCCUCUUCUUCUACCAAAUUUCAUACAAGUUCAGAUAUCAUAUUGUACAUUAUUUAGAUGUUCCUAAAGCUAUCAUCAAUUUCAGCAUAAGUUUCGCUAGUAUCAUCGUUAAUUUUGACAUCGUUCCACUUUUAAUACACGAUAAUUAAUUUAUUAGGUUUCCUAUCGAAACACAAAAAGCAGUAACAUUUAUAGCAUUUCAGCAAAUACAGACCAAUUUACGAUACAAAGAGGAUGUGUACCACAUGUACAGAGGAUUAUGAAAAAUCAAUUUAUUCUUUUCAAACAUCUAGUACCGAUUGCGAAUCAUUGAUUCAUAAAAAAUGAGUAUACAUAAAUAUUUGGCUGACAUAAAAAGUACAUAUAAUCCUAUCAUGUAAUAUGUUUAUGUAGUUUGUAUUUUAAAGCACAGAAAAUUAAUGUUUCUCUGUUGGCCAUUGCAGCGACCGCUUUUUUAUAACAUUGUGGAAAAAUGCACAAUACAUAUUAACGGUCGACGUGUUGGAGUUACACCAUACCUUGACUACUACAAAUAAAAAUACCAGAAAUUGCACCCUUAGAUGAACACUCGAAGCAAAUUCUUCAAACCAAAAUAACCGGCAGAUGUAUAAAUGAAUAAUCCAAAACUGUCAGUGAAAUUCAAAAUUUGUUGAAAAAGAAUACAGCAAAUUAUGCGAUCAAAGUAUCAAACCUUAGCUUUCUAUUACUUCAAGCCAUCCAUCAGGCAAGUGCUGAAUUUCAUCAGCGAAAAAUGCUGUGUCCUCGGACCAGAUCCGAUCGUUGUGUCAUUUUUCUGUCUCAUCCGCUAAUUGAAACUUUGUAUCACGUGCGUAAGGCGUGCUGCAUCUAUCAGAACCGAUGGUAAUCCGAAGAAAUAAUAUCUAGCGAAUAAGCUAGCUGCUGCAGGAUGUCCCGAAAAGAUGCAGCCAAGUCAGUAGCGAUGAAUUGCUCUAAAAUUCCCAUUAGAAAUCUCAAGGAACACGUUAAGACGGUAGCAAGAGGAAACACCUACGACAUCGUCGCCGAAGAAGACUUAGGAUUCAACUGUGUUUAAUUGCCAAAGGAUUUAAUUGUUUUUCCACAUUUCCAUGACCAAAUCAUAGUAUGCGGAGGAAAACUAAAAACGAGAAAUUAUAAUGGCAACCAAUAGGUGUAGGUCAGGCCAUUACAACCUGGGCAUCUCAUCAGCCCGGACAGGUAUAAUAAGCGACCCUAAGUGCCAGUGUGGUCAUGAAAAGUCAGGAUUGAUAGAUCAUGUAUUGUGACAAUACCAUUUUUGUUACUAUUUAAUUAAUUAACUAUUUACCGAACCGAGAACAGUCUUCAUUAGAGAACUCCAGAAAGUGAAUUACUGUCUUCCAUUCUCACGUAACGUAGUACUGAACAAUCACGCAAUAGCCAUUUGCAAAGUCAUACACUCGUCCUUGAAAAGCUGUAACAUAUCGAUCUGAUUAUAAUAUAUUGAAUAUUAUCAAUUUAUUAAUAUUAAGAUAUGAAUAUUCCAAGUUCAUAUACGUAAACUACAUGCAAUGUAAGCAACGCAAAUAAUCUCGGUGGGGACUAAAUUGCUUGAAUAGGAAAAGGAAACAUGUCCCAUCCGAGACUGCUCAUGAUGUGUUUCGUCGCGGAAGCAGCAGAACUGCGCAGAACGUUGUCCUUUAUCAGUGUCCUGACGAUCGGAUCUUCUAUGAUGAAUGUAAAUUCUAUAAUGAAUCUAUAAUGAAUCUAAAGACACAUUUUCCCGUGAUGGAAUUCAUCACUUGCCUAAAUAGGUGGCUUGAAGUUAUAAAAGGCAGCGACAAAUACUUUGAUUGAACUACUUGCGGCAUUUUAUCGAUAUACAACUCUGAGCUUUGGACUUUGAGCACCGAAGAUCAUUCAUUUCAUUGGAUUAUUCAUUUGUACACUUAUUAUUAACCCUACUUUGCGUUCCUCGGCUCAUCUUCGUCUCGAUCCUGUAUACUUCCAGCGUUAAGAAGUUUCCUCAGUUCAGAGGAAAUAUGAAGAAACAAUCGUUACUGAUAUGCAAAUUCCUUCUUUGAAUAUUGUGUUACAAAUUUUCCUAGAACGUUAAAAGCGUUCGUAUCUGUCGACAUAGGGACGAGAACCUCGGUAAAAAUCGGAGAACCGCAGUAGGGUUAAUAAUAGGUCAGAGAAACUUAAACAAAUAUGAAUAUACUUAUUACGUGAUCCGUAUAUUCUUUCUCCAAAGAUGAUCUAUCUUGCGAAGAAUAUCGGAUCAGGUAGGCAAAUUAAAUUAAUAUACGUAACUAUACGAAGUUUUAAUUAGUCAUUGCAUUCAGCAUAGUUUACAAGAUAUACGUAUAUGCUGAUGCUGAUACAAAGCGCACAAUUUGUCUUGUUUUGCUUAUUCGAUUGUACGGAAUGAUCAAGAGCUUCGUUAUAACAUUUCGCUUGUUAAAAGAAUUAUAAACGAGUCCAUAUGUUGAUCAGAUUCUAUAGAAACUAUAUUUCUAUGAACGCUGUUGUAGUUGUAAUUUUAAGUUUCUGAAACUAUUUAAAAUACUUUAUUUAGUACGUAGAUAGAAUCGGAUCUUAAUAGGUAGCUACUUAAUUAACAAAACAGUUUUAGAUACAUGACAGAUUUUUAUAAUGAGAUAUCGAGAAUUAAUAAAUGAAUUAACUAUAUAAUAUGCGUGUUUCGUAAAAUAUUAUCACUGUAUGACUCCUUUGUAUAUUUGAGAGUUACAAAGGCUCUGCCCACUUCAACUCCGAUCCACUGCGUUCGCAGCGUGGCAGAAAUUGCAAUCGUCAGUUAACUUAGUAUACUUGAGAAAUCUGACUAUUUAACAUCACGUAUUAUCAUCAUAGCGUUAUAGUAGAAACUAUUCUUAAUGCAUCGGAAUUAUGAAUGCAUUAUGAGCAAACAACGAUAAUAUUCUUCUUUGAGUUAUUGCUAUGUUAAUUACGAUUCGACAAAUGUUUAACCAACCUAACUAGCACGAUGCGACCAGCUAUACAAAAAUUUGGAGAUACAUUUCAUGUACUGUAUCUGAACACAGGAUCCAAUAGUAUCAAAUAUUUAAGCCUUUACGCUAUACAUAGCAUAUAUGUAUAUCUGAAUCAAAAGACGGCCAACACAUUUACGAUUGUUAAAUUUUAGAUGAUUCUGCCUUUUAAAUUUUAGAUGAUCCGCGCAAAGUAUUGCAAGUUAUCUUCUCGAGGAUUAAUAGAAGGAAAUAUUUUAUCGAACGUUUAAUGAUUCACCGAAUACUUUCAGAGAACGACCGAGUUCUCCAAAGAGUGAAACGGACGUUCUUUUCCAUUUCCUGUUUCUUCGACUUAAGAAAAGAUUUCAGAAAACGGAAUACUGCUGUACUAUAGGACAGUAUCGAAGUAGCUUUGUGGAAAUUUACAAUUUUUCGACAUUACCUAAGUUGCUAAGUAUAAUACGUACUAUUGGACAUACAUACAUACAGAAACUUUUACUGGUUUUAAAAUGUAUCGUUAUAUCGCUGUUUCAUAUCUUGUGUUUCGCAAUUUAUGGAAAAAUGAAAUUUGUUAUAGUCCUAGGAACAUUUCUUAUACUUCUAAAUAACGCAUCACUCAUCGUCGGUGUAUAAAUUAUAGUGAACACAUAAAAUGAGAAACAGAUGAUACGAUAUAUGAAUUUCUCUUAUUUUCUAUGUAAUGAAGGACAGUUAUAAGAAUUGUAACAAUGAUAAUUCACAAGUGUGGAAACAGUUGUUGUUAUAAAUCUCAUAAAACAGCAUUUUAAACAUUUGCUAAAAUCAAAUUCAAAUUAACCACCCUUUCAUUCUUUCAAUUAUUUAUAGAAUGAAAUUAUUACAAAUUAAUACACGUGAAAAUGUCUAUAUCAUUUCAUUAAGGAAAAAACUAAACUUACAAUACUCCUACUCGUCCUACUAUUCUUCUCUAUACUUAUAUACAAUCCUUCACCUUGACUUUUGCUACCUCAGCGUCUAAAGUACAAUAGGUGAAAACGACAUAACGAGGUCAUAAAAUAAAGCAUCAAAUAGGUUCACCAGUUGAUCUGGAUGCAACUAGUGUGCCACACGCACACACGUUUUUUAAAACCAGUUUCCAUCAUCAUUCAGUUCAACGUUUCAUACGAUGAGUCAUAAAACCGGAAUAGAAGUUAUAAAUAGAGAGACACGUUUUUUUUUUUAGAGAGGAAGAAAUAGUUUUCCAGUUGAUAUCGCCUGUCUAUUGAUCCAGACGCAACUAGUGGGUGUGUAUGCUGCACAGAGGAAGAAGUAGUUCUAAGAGUUGAUAUCCCCUGCCUGACCAUAAACGAAGCCCUAGGGUCCUUACGAGCCCAAUACAUUUCAAGUUAUUGAUGGCGGUUAUCAAAACUGUAAACUUUAAC